GCUUUGAACUGGGGUAAAAUGUGGCAAUGAGGUGUGGCUGUACCCAGGAAUAGUCAGGGAAGCAGAUAAUUUAGUUAAAGUGUCUCGGCCAAAUAAGGGAACUGGGCAGGUGGGGAUAACUAAAAAGGAGUGCUUAAAAGAGUGUUGUCUAAGUUGGCACCAGAGUUGGGGAGUUUUAAGAGGUUUAGAAGCCUGGCUGUCAAUACCCACAACAGUUAUGGAGGCAAGGGAAACAGGCCCUUGAAAAGAAGGUAGUGUGGAGUGGGUAGCCUCCGUAUUGAUUAAGAAGGGGACGGACUUAUCCUCCACUGUGAGAGUUACCUAAAGCUCGGCAUCCAUGAUGGUCUACGGGGCUUCCGAGGCACUCAGGCAGCGUCAGUCUUCAGCCGCUAAGCUGAGAAGGGGUCAGUCAGAGAAGCUUGGGCCAGAGUUCCAAGGGCUCUGGGAGCAGCUGCCAGUGAGUUGAACAGUCCGAUUUCCAGUGGGGUCCCGCACAGAUGGGACGUGGCUUAGGAGGAAUCCCGGGCUGCGGGCAUUCCUUGUCCUGGUGGCCAGAUUUCUGACACUUGUAGCAAGCUCUUGGGGGAGGAUGUUGCGGAGGAACGCCUGGCCACUGCGGUUCAGGCAUUUGGAAGUUCUUGUGUGCUGGAGAUGUGGCUGGGAUUUGUCUCACAGUGGAGAAAAUGAAAGGAAUUGAAAUUAAGAGAAGGGAGAGAUUGAAGACUGGAAAGGAGAAAGUGGUUGAUGGACAGAGAGAGGUUGGAGAAGAGAGUAAGAAGAGGCCGCUUACUCGAUUUAAAAUUGGUGGUCAAGCAGGAACUGGGAAGUUCUGAAGCUGCCCUCCUUCACACCACCUCCUCCCUUCAGAGGCCAAGGGCGGCCAAGCUGUCUCCCACACACCUCAGUGAAAAGCCCCUGGCUCUCCUCCCAGCCACCUCGCUGUGACCUCGUGAGGUGUGAGAAGGAGGAAGGGGAUCUACGUUCUGGAUGAGCCUUCCUUCCUCCUUGCCGAGAAAUAGUUUAGGCCACGUGCCUGCUAGGCCUCAGACUUCUCAGAGCCCAGGGCCCACUGUGGCUUCUGCAAGCUGCCUGGGAAUUCCACGGAGUCUGACUGGCUGCCUGUCUUAUUCCCAGUCUGCUGCAACCCAUUUCCUAAGCUUGGGUGGCUGAAAACAACAAAUUCAUCCUCUCACAGUUCUGGAGGCCAGAGUCUGAAUGCAGAUGUUGGCAGGGCUGUGCUGCCUUUGAAGGUUCUAGGGAAGAAUCCUUCCUGACUUUUUCCAGUUUUGGGUGGUGGCUGGCAAUGCGUGGCAUUCCUUGGCUUCAGAUGCAUCAUUCCAGCUGCACAUGGCUGUCUUCCCUCUGAGUCUCUUCUUCUUUUAAGGAUACCAGUCACAUGGUGUGAAGGGCCCACCUUACUCCAGUAUGUCACCAGGUUAAUUCGUUACACCUGCAACCACCCAAUUUCCAAAUGUCACAUUCUGAGGUUCCUGAUUGAAGGGGUGGGUUGCCCCUCCACACCUGUGGGCGUUUCUCAUUAGGUGGAAUGAGAGACCUGGAAAAGAAAGAGACACAGAGACAAAGUAUAGAGAAAGAAAAUAGUGCCCAGGGGACGGGCGUUCAGAAUACGGAGGACCCAUGCCGGCAGCAGCCUCUGAGUUCCCUUAGUAUUUAUUGAUAAUUUUCAGGCGUUUCCAGAGAGGGGGAUUUGGCAGGACAAUAGGGUAAGAGCGGAGAGAAGGUCAGUAGGAAAACACGUGAACAAAGCUCUCUACAUCUUAAACCAGAUAAAGAAUUAAGUGCUGUGCUUUUGAUGUGCAUACACAUAAACAUCUUAAUCCAUUAAAGAGCAGUAUUGCUGCCAGCAUGUCCCACCUCCAGCCCUAAGGUGGUUUUCCCUUAUCUCAGUAGUAGGAAUAUACAAUCGGGCUUGACACCAAGACGUUCCAUUGCCCAGGGACAAGCAGGAGACAGAUGACUUCCUCUUAGCUCACCUGCAAAGAGGCCUUCCUCUUUCACUAAUCCUCCUCAGCACAGACGCUUUACAGGUGUUGGGCUGGGGGGGUGGUCAGGUCUUUCCCUUCCCAGGAGGCCAUAUCUCAGGCUAUCACAUGGGGAGAAACCUUGGACAAUACCUGGCUUUCCCAGGCAGAGGUCCCUGUGGGCUUCAGCAGUGUUUUGUGUCUCUGGGUACUUGAGAUUAGGGAGUGGUGAUGACUCUUAACGAGCAUGCUGCCUUCAAGCAUUUGUUUAACAAAGCACACCCUGCGGAGCCCUUAAUCCAUUUAACCCUGAGUUGACACAGCACAUGUCUCAGGGAGCACAGGGUUGGGGGUAGGGUUACAGAUUAACAGCAUCUCAAGGCAGAAGAAUUUUUCUUAGUACAGAACAAAAUGGAGUCUCGUAUUUCUACUUUCUACACAGACACAGUAACAAUCUGAUCUCUCUUUCUUUUCCCCACAUUGAUGAACGUGAAUUUGAGAGGACACCAUUCAACCCACAGCAGAGCCCCACCAUCGCUUCUCUGCACAGGGCACCCUGCCUGUCUUUCCUCUCCAGCACCAAGACAGAGCCAAGAGUGAUUUCUUGAAAUGAAACUGCAUCCUCUCAUCCCAAUAAGGCAUGGCCUCACUAGUGGGAGAUGAGAAAAUGAAAGCCUCCCUCAGGAUGGGCAUCCACACGUCCAGGGGAUACUCAUCCCAAUUGUUUUUUCCUGGUUUACAGAGGUGCUUCAGGACUUCUUGGCUCCUGGCCAAUACCUUAGUGCUUCCUGAAGGGGAAAGAGCCCUCCAAACCAUUCAGUGGGCCUAGACCAAGGUUUCUGACCCAGACAUUGAAACAGGAGGAGUACCCUUAUCCCCCUUGCAGGGCAUGCUACAGGGGCAUGGCUCGCUUCUCAGUACCCUGCUGCUCAAACCCCUAGAGGGAGCGUGUAGAGGGGCAUGUCGUGGGGAGCAUUUCUGGGAUCUGGCCCCACAGAAGCGUGUGGAAUUGGGUGUUUACAGCUCCCGAAGCCCCAGUGGGCAUGUGUUACAGUGGUCUCCUUCAGUUUUGCCAUCUGCAGGUGGCUUGUGUUAAUCAGCUCAGUUAGGCCCUCUGCCUUAUCACAAAGACAGAGGGCUUUCUGUAUCCCGGGUUCUUGCCCUAGUGUACUUGAAAAAUCAGAUUGCCCGUGGACUUGGAGAAUGAAUGCAAGAUUUUAUUGAGUGGAGGAGGUGGCUCUCAGAUGGAUGGGGAGCCAGAAGGGGGAUGGAGUGGGAAGGUGAUCUUCUGCUAGAGUCGGGCUGCCUAGUAGCCACACUCUCCUCCGACCACCCCCUACUGAAUUCCACAUCUCCCCACUGUCAAAAGCCUGCCAGCAUCUGCUGAUGUCUUUCAGUGUGCUCUCCUGCUUCUCUGCUCCUCUCGAUGUCCAGCCACUUGUGUCUGUGCCCACUAGGAUCUUGGGUUUUUUAUGGGCACAGGAUGGGGGUCAUAGCAGGCCAGAGUAGUCUUGGAAAAUGCAACAUUUGGACAAGAAAACAGGAGUGCCUGUUCUCACUAAGGUCCAAGGGCACAAGCCCGAGGGCAGAGCCCUCGACAGUGACCCCACCCUUCUCUACCCAGCACUCCCCUGCCCCCCUUCCAUAUCAACAUGAAAGCUGACAUUGGCUCCUGUGCCCCACCUCUGGGCCUGGUUUGGUGACCUCUGCACCAGAGCUGCUAGGGAGGCCCCACCCCACAUGUUGUUAACUCAACAGCCCUUCCCCAGGGGAACCAACGUCCUCCUGUCCCCAAACCCAAGGAGGAGUGGUGGGUUUCUGGAACUCUUGUAACCCGACUGAAUAUUUACCAGGUUACCUAACCAAACUCCUGCAAAACCACACCACAUAUGCCUGUGAUGGGGACUAUUUCAAUCUACAGUGCCCUCGGCAUUCUACGAUAAGUGUCCAAUCGGCAUUUUAUGGGCAAGAUUACCAAAUGUGUAGUUCCCAGAAGCCUGCCUCCCAGAGGGAAGACAGCUUAACCUGUGUGGCACCCACCACCUUCCAGGUAUUGCCUUUUAUAGACACGUUAAGAUGAUACGGUUUCAACAGACACUCCUUCUCUCUCUCUGGGUAUAAAUAUAUUUGUGAUUAGGUAGUUCAUUCCAAGCAAAACUGAUCCAUGAAAAAUCCCAACUUAUACAGAUCACCAGUUUUGUAGGUGAGCUAUUAUUUGCUUCUCAAAGAAAUUGUUACCCAACAAAACUAAACAGAAUUCCUAUCUAUUGUAGAGCCCCCUUUGUAUACUUCAGUAUGAAUUUAGUUGUAGGUUUACUCCUUACUUCAGUAUAGCAAAGUACAACCAGGAUAGAUUCCAACCUCCAGGCUCAUAUCUCCCAUAAAUACUCCUAUAGAAAGGGAAGGUGGGUUCUUUAAAGGAAGCCACAUGUAUCUCUGAGGCAGACAUCUGAACUCAUGACCAAGUUCUUAGAAAAUGUACUCAAAGGGCCAGGCACGGUGGCUCCUGACUGUAAUCCCAGCACUUUGGGAGGCCAAGGCAGGUGGAUCACAAGGUCAGGAGAUUGAGACCAUCCUGGCUAACACGGUGAAACCCUGUCUCUACUAAAAAUACAAAAAAUUAGCCAGGUGUGGUGGUGGGCGCCUGUAGUCCGAGCUACUCCAGAGGCUGAGGCAGGAGAAUAGCAUGAACCCGGGAGGCGGAGCUUGCAGUGAGCAGAGAUCGCGCCACUGCACUCCAGCCUGGGCGACAGAGUGAGACUCCGUCUCAAAAAAAAAAAACAAAAACAAAAAAAAACAAAUCAUUAUUAAACAUUUUUACUAAUUAAAUGGUUUUGGAAUACAGUCUUUUAAAAAAACAAUUAACUAUGUUUUCUUCAACAGUGCACACACAAUGCCAACUUUGUAUGACAUUGCAAAGAAAGAUUUUACCAUGAUAAGCGGAUUAAACAAACUAACUUUUCCUUGAAUUCUUUGGGAACAAAGUACAACCUGGUCCAAAUCAUCCUAACCUAGAAUGCACCAUCAGUUUGACCGUCAGUUGUUCCUGGUUUUACCAGAUUUGGGGCAGACUUUUCAUGCUUCUCUAAAGAGGGAUUCUUAACUGACACCGUGCCUUGUUUUUGCCCUUUUCCUAGGAAAGGAAAUGAUUUGAUUUGGUAUCAUGUCAUCUUUAUUGCUUUUUUUUUUUUAACUUAGAGAUGAGGCCUUGCUAUGUUUCCCAGGCUGGUCUCCAACUUCUGGGCUCAAGUGAUCCUCCUACCUCAGCCUCCCUCCCAAAAUGCUGGGAUUACACUUGUGAGCCACUGUGCCUGGCCUCUUUCUUGUCUUUUAAACAAAUAAAUGUAAGCUGGGCAUGGUGUGCAUUCAUAUAUUCCCAGGUACUUGAGAAGCUGAGGCGAGAGGAUCCCUUGAGCCUAGGUUUGAGCCCAAGAGUUCAAGGCUGCAGUGAGCUAUGAUUGGACCACUGCACUCUAGCCUGGGUAACAGAGUGAAACCCUGUCUCUAAAAAACUAAACUAAUGCAGGGCGUGGUGGCUCAUACCUGUAAUCCCAGCACUAUGGGAGGCCGAGGUGGGCGGAUCACGAGAUCAGGAGAUCGAGACCAUCCUGGCUAACAUGGUGAAACCCCGUCUCUACUAAAAAUACAAAAUUAUCUGGGCAUGGUGGCGCAUGCCUGUAAUCCCAGCUACUCGGGAGGCUGUGACAAGGAGAAUCACUUGAACCUGGU
rnacentral:lncRNA from 10 species